rnacentral:rRNA from 1 species
UACGUAGGGAGCAAGCGUUGUUCGGAUUUACUGGGCGUAAAGGGCGCGUAGGCGGCAAAUUAAGUCAGCUGUGAAAUCUCCGAGCUUAACUCGGAACGGUCAGCUGAUACUGAUCUGCUAGAGUGCGGAAGGGGCAAUCGGAAUUCUUGGUGUAGCGGUGAAAUGCGUAGAUAUCAGGAGGAAUACCGGUGGUGUAGACGGCUCUCUGGACCGCCACUGACGCUGAGACACGAAAGCGUGGGUAGCAAACAGG